rnacentral:lncRNA from 1 species
GGUUAAUAUGAGUCUGAAAUGAGCCAUUUACAUUGCAACUAUAGAUAGGUAAAAUCUAUUUGCACAUGAAAGACAAGAUUGUUUUGCAUCUAACAUUAGGCCAAGGACUAAGAAGCAGGAAGGUUAUCGUCUAGCUGCUGCUGGGUACAUGCUUUCAUUAUGAGAUGAGAACCAAAUUCAGCUGAUUCACAGAUGCCUUUCCUCAUGUCCAUCUCAGUUAAAUUGCAGAGCUGAGUUAUCAACCAAAAAAGAUGGCUUGCCAAAAAUGCCUCACAGACAGAGUAUUGACAGAAUGAUGUUCAAAGUGAGGAUCACAUGGAGCAGUGUAUUCAUCAGACAUGGCUGGAGACACCUAUUUAAACAAGAAGUCAGUCUUCCAUCACAUACUUCACUUUGCCCAUGGAAAGAAUUUCACUGACUUAAAAAUUAUGUACCAUGUAUCUUGAUACUUAAUUCUGAAUUUUCUUUAAAAAUCUGUGGUACAGAAAAUAUAUCAUAUGAGAUAUCACUGUUCUGCAGUCUUGAGAGAUUUAUACUGGUAAGUCAAAGGUUGUUAAUCAUUUUAAUCAAAGACACUUUGAUUGAGGUUUACCUGCAUCCUGAUCAUGUCUAUAGCCUUUGUAAUAUCAUGUAAAUAGCCUUUGAUUUCCCUGCAUCCUCAUCACGAUCCAUCUGUAGCUGAAUAAAAUGAAACAAACAUAUAAACCCCUGCUCCA